GGGCCACGCUCAGUGUAGGGUUCCGUAGUUACUCUUCCGUCACAAUAAGCUAAACUGGAGCUUAAAGUAUAGUAAAUUGUUAACCAAGGGAUGAAACGGUACCUUUCACCCGAGUUAAACAAAUAGGCAAAUUUGCAUAAUCAGUACCUAAUUAAAGUAAGUCUUUUUACUAUGAAGGGAAAACUUUUUGCGAUAACUCAAAAACAGCUAAACUGAUCAUGUCCGCUAUAGUUUUCAUUUAAUGUCUUUCUUAAGCUCUACUUCCACGAUUUUUUUCAUAUUUUUUGGACCUAUGGUUCAAAAGUUAGAGGGGGGGGACACAUUUUUUUUCUUUCGGAGAUAUUAUCUCCCAAUAUAUUCACUUUAUCAAAAAAUGUUUCUUGAAAACCCCUAUUAGUUUUGAAAGACCUUUCCAACGAUACCCCACACUCUAGGAUUGAAGCGAAAAAAAAAAUUCACCCUCACUUUACGUGUAGGGGAGGUACCCUAAAAAAAUUAAAUUUUUAGAUUUUAUUGUACGACUUUGUCGGCUUUAUUGAUUUAUAUAUCCAUGCCAAAUUUCAGCUUUCUAGCACUAACGACCACGGAGCAAAGCCUCGGACAGACAGACAGACAGACAGACAGACAGACAGACGGACAUGGCGAAACUAUAAGGGUUCCGUUUUAUGCCAUUUGGCUACGGAACCCUAAAAAUGUACGCCUAACACUUAUAAUAUGUGUAAGAUUUCUUAGCCUUCAAAGGGUUGAGUUGUCUGGCUAGCGUGCGUGCUAGACCUGUUGUUAAAGUACAGUCAACCAAUUUGAAUCCUAGGCCACUAUAGAACCUUGUCGCUUUAACUACUCUACACGUGACAUGCAUCACUCAAUAAGCACUGUCGUAGAAGUCAUUAUGACAUGGUUCUAUAGUGGCCUAGGAAUCAAAUUGGUUGACCGUACGUCUAUACCAACGGGCGUAAUAAAUAAGUGAGAACGCUGCUCUUGUCAUUGUCAUGCGCAAUAAAUUCUACCCAUCUCUUUCUAAUUAGUGUAGUGAGCACUAAAAUGAGCAAUACUGCAAUUUGCCUUUGUCAAGAACCUAAUUUUCAUAAUGUUGCAUUAAGGCCCGAUAAUAUGACCGUGAACGGUGUUACAAUCAUGCAUUUUUUUAGAUUACCAGCUUCGAUUAUACUUUCAAAAGAAUAUAUCGCUUGGAUAAUUGGUCCAUUACACGUAAAUUAUUUUUGGAUCAAGCCGAAAUGGCUGCGAACGAUGUUGUUAAGCUUAGAAACAAAAUAAAAGUGGAAUAUUUCAAUGCCUUGGAUGGGACUUGCUUGAACCCAUGACCACUGACUUUUAAUUUGUUUCUAAGUUCGCCUAUAUGCAUUUUCUGAAGCAAGGUGUCCAUGGGCGGUGGUAAUCGCUUACCAUCACCUGAUCCGUCUACUCGUUUGCAAAAAAACAUUAUUCAGACCUUAUUCAGACUAUCUUUAGUAAAUAUUGAGUUGAAACCUUUAUAGACCAAAAUACAGCAUAGACUUGGCAUAGACACAUGACAACAGUAACUCUGAAAACUCUGUCAGUAUGACAAGAAAAUCUGUAAAUCAAAUAAAGAAAUUUACACAAUAUUUUAUUAUAUAAUUGUUUAUAUUUCUUAAAUUAUUUAAAUGUUAACGUUUUUAAAAUCUGAUCAGGGAUGAUACACAAAACGUAUUUUAUUAUGAGUGCGCUUUUCUCUCUAAAAUAUAUUUUUGUGUAUCGACGGAAGUACAAAAUCGGAAAUUUCGUCAGGAGCUACUGCGAUCAGACUUUCUGAUGGGGAACUGUAUGAGACGUUUUUGUUUUUGUUGUCAGAAAGUGUUUGGACCGUACUGUUGUGGCGAAAAGUGUAUUAAUAUCCGUCAGUGGUGCCACUGGUGCUGCUGUAACUGCUGCUGUAACGGCUCCGCGUGUUGUUCCAAAAAACCACAGACUGUCGAACAGGUCGACUAUGCGGCAGUAAAAGGUCGAAGAAAGAAGGGCCCGAAGCGGAGCGGAGAACCGGCGCUUAGAAUUGAGGGGUAGAUUUAAUGUGGUAAUUUAAUAUAUUAUUUCACUAAACUACUAUUAUUUUAUUCAAAUAACGUAAGAGACAAUAUACAUAAACAUGGAGAUGGUAAAGAGGAAAUAAAAAAUACUGCUGCUCUCAUUGUGGCUACCACCAGUUCAGCACUGACAUAAACAGAAUAUGUCAGUCUGGGCACUGUCAGUUACUCGUGGAACCGGUACUGGCUUAGACUCAAUAUAACUUAAUCAUUGCAGAAGGCUUUACGUUACUACAGUUGAGUAAGGUUAGAAAUUUAGCCGCAGACGAAACUCCAAGCCAAAUCCAUUGUAAUUCAAACUGGUAACUUGUUUACGAAACAAGUAAAUUAUAAAUUGCCAUUGGAAAAUAUUUGGAAUUGCUCAAAGUGGGCAAAGUUGCGUUCGUUAAUGGAAGUUUCGAGUUUCUGAUACACCUACAACUUGGGAGCGGAAGAGGUGCGAGAAUAAGGGGGUUCGUAUUCUUGAAAUAUAUAUAUAUAUAUAAACAACUUCUUUUUUUAAGUGAAAACUUCUUUAGCGGUGCUGUGCAGUUUUUGUGAUGGGGAAAAAAUUUUAAACUCGCGACAGGUCACGUGACCGACAGAUUCGACAGAUUGAAUAUUCGUAAGACGGACACGUGACCUGAUCAAAAAACUGUUACAAUGUCAUUGAAGCCAGUAGAGUCGAGAGUGUAAAAGUUGAUUUUUUUGAGAGAUAAACUGUUAAAUGUUAAUUAAUUGUAAUAGUUCUGAAGUGUUCAAUUUUUAAUGUGAUAUAAAUUGUCAUGUUUGUGUACGAUAGCGCAAUAAAUGAAUAUUGUAUUUUAUCACAUAAAUGAUAGUACUUUUAUACUGAUAAUUAAAGCAAUUCGUGCAAAAUUAUUCCCUAACCAUUCCAAAAUAUCAAAAAUGCACAACGUUAAUAUUCAAGUUUUCACUUCUGCCGGCACUCCCGGAGUGCAACCCGUUUUUAGGGUUCCGUAGCCAAAUGGCAAAAAACGGAACCCUUAUAGAUUCGUCAUGUCCGUCUGUCUGUCCGAUUCUGUCACAGCCACUUUUUUCCGAAACUAUAAAAGCUAUACUGUUCAAACUUGGUAAGUAGAUGUAUUCUAUGAACCGCAUUAUGAUGUUCACACAAAAAUAGAAAAAAAACAAUAAAUUUUGGGGGUUCCCCAUACUUAGAACUGAAACUCAAAAAAUCUUUUUUCAUCAAACUCAUACGUGUGGGGUAUCUAUGGAUAGGUCUUUAAAAAUGAUAUUGAGGUUUCUAAUAUCAUUUUUUUCUAAACUGAAAAGUUGGCGCGAGAGACACUUCCAAAGUGGUAAAAAGUGUGUCCCCCCCCCCCCGUAACUUCUAAAAUAACAGAAUGAAAAAUCUAAAAAAAAUAUAUGAUAUACAUUGCCAUGCAAACUUCCACCGAAAAUUGGUUCGAACGAGAUCUAGUAAGUAGUUUUUUUUUAAUACGUCAUAAAAAUUAAAAAAAAAAAAAAAUUUCAUCAAACCCAUACGUGUGGGGUAUCUAUGGA